GUUGGGCGCAGCGUCCCACGCCUGUAAUCUCAACAGCUUGGGAGGCUGAGUCAGGAGGAUUGCAAGUCCAAGGACAGCCUCAGCUGGGUGAGGCCCUGAGCAACUUAGCAGGACCCUGUCUCGA
rnacentral:sRNA from 1 species